UACGUAGGUGGCAAGCGUUGUCCGGAUUUACUGGGUGUAAAGGGCGUGUAGCCGGGCUGACAAGUCAGAUGUGAAAUCCGGGGGCUCAACCCCCGAACUGCAUUUGAAACUGUUGGUCUUGAGUAUCGGAGAGGCAGGCGGAAUUCCUAGUGUAGCGGUGAAAUGCGUAGAUAUUAGGAGGAACACCAGUGGCGAAGGCGGCCUGCUGGACGACAACUGACGGUGAGGCGCGAAAGCAUGGGGAGCAAACAGG
rnacentral:rRNA from 1 species